rnacentral:tRNA from 1 species
GGCCGCCUGGCGAAAUGGUAUCGCGUCUGACUACGAUUUCGUAGCUUAUCAGGAGAUUGCAGGUUCGAGCCCUGCGGUGGUCA